AUUGAACGCUGGCGGCAGGCCUAACACAUGCAAGUCGAACGAGUGGCGGACGGGUGAGUAAUGCCUGGGAAACUGCCUGAUGGCGGGGGAUAACUACUGGAAACGGUAGCUAAUACCGCAUACCAUCAGAUGUGCCCAGAUGGGAUUAGCUGGUUGGUGGGGUAACGGCGCGCCAAGGCGACGAUCCCUAGCUGGUCUGAGAGGAUGACCAGCAACCCGGGAACUGAGAAACGGUCCGGACUCCUACGGGAGGAAGCAGUGGGGAAGAUUGCACAAGGGGAGAAAGCCUGAUGCAGCCAUGCCGCGUGUAUGAAGAAGGCCUUCGGGUUGUAAAGUACUUUCAGCGGGGAGGCGUUACCCGCAGAAGAAGCACCGGCUAACUCCGUGCCAGCAGCCGCGGUAAUAC
rnacentral:rRNA from 1 species